rnacentral:piRNA from 1 species
UACCUGUUUAGCAGUGUUCUCCUAUA